UACGUAGGGUGCGAGCGUUAAUCGGAAUUACUGGGCGUAAAGCGUGCGCAGGCGGUUCGUUGUGUCUGAUGUGAAAGCCCCGGGCUCAACCUGGGAAUGGCAUUGGAAACUGGCGAGCUAGAGUGUGGCAGAGGGGGGUGGAAUUCCACGUGUAGCGGUGAAAUGCGUAGAUAUCUGGAGGAACACCGGUGGCGAAGGCGGCAUCCUGGACCAUGACUGACGCUGAGGAGCGAAAGCCAGGGGAGCAAACGGG
rnacentral:rRNA from 1 species